UACGUAGGGUGCGAGCGUUUAAUCGGAAUUACUGGGCAUAAAGGGUGCGUAGGUGGUCUAUUAAGUCAGGGGUGAAAUCCCGCGGCCCAACCGUGGAACGGCCUUUGAUACUGAUGGACUUGAGUGCGUGAGGGGUAGGGGGAACGAGCAGUGUAGCGGUGAAAUGCGCAGAUAUCAGGAGGAACACCUAUUGCGAAGGCAGCUCGCUGGGACGUAACUGACGCUGAGACGCGAAAGCGUGGGGAGCAAACAGG
rnacentral:rRNA from 1 species